AUGCUUCUUUAUUUUCCCUCUACUUUAAUAGAAUUUUAUUUUUUGAUUAAGGGAAACCAAAACAUGAAAAGUCUGGUUUACUCAAAUCCAAAUACCAUAUGUAAGCAAAUUUCAUAAAUGUAUCCAUGUAUACGGACACUCUUUCUACACGUGACAAACAAUAGGUUAAAACAUAUUCGUGCAAACACAAUUCAGUUGUUUUCCAUUUGGAAUAAACAUUUGGUCCAGCAUAUAAAAGCUACAUUAAAAGACUUAGAUGUGGUAAAUAACUUGAACAAAAGAAACUUUGCCUAUUACUAAUACAACUAGAAAGGAGACGGGCUCAAGGAUGAGUGAGAUUUGUAGUCUUUCUGCAGCACGGCAACGUUUUAUACAAGAUAAUGCCAUUCCUUCCCCUUGGAUAAACAACAUGAGUCACUCUGUAAGCAUUCAACAACUGGGCUCAUAAAUACCAUAUACCAUCUGUCACUCAAAUUUAUGAAAUCUUUGCUAAUGUCACUUCAGGACUAAAAAUUUCUACCUCAGUUUUUUUUUCCUUCCCUGGAACAUAACUAUAAAGGUAACAUGCUUGCAGAGACUUGUAGAAUUUUGUAACAGGGACAAAAAUAAACAAAAACAUCUUUGUGAUUCUUCAUUCUCAGCAAUGUAUUAAUAACGUUUUCUGAUUAAGUACAAUGAUUAUGUUUCUCCAAAGGAAAAACUCAAUGAAUCAUUUUUAGCCCUAGUUUAACCAAAAUUAUUCUCUAUCUGAAGCAAGUCCAGAUGAUUCACUUAGAAUUACCUACAGAAGGCCAGGCAUGGUGGCUCACGCCUAUAAUCCUAGCACUUUGGGAGGCCAAGGUGGGCGGAUCACCUGAGGUCAGGAGUUCAUGACCAGCCUGGCCAACAUGAUGAAACCCUAUCUCUACUAAAAUACAAAAAUUAGCCAGGGAUGAUGGCGGGUGCUUGUAAUCCCAGCUACUCUAGAGGCUGAGACGGGAGGAUUGCAUGAACCCAGGAGACGGUUGCAGCCUGGGCAGCUGAGCGAGACUCCGUCUCAAAAAAAAAAAAUUACCUACAGAUGUUAUAUGUAAGUGUGUGUGUGUGUGUAAAAUAUGUAGUUAUAUAUUAUAUAUAAUAUAUACAUGUUUUCAGAAAUCUCACAGAUUUUUUAUUAACAGCAUUUUGUUUGAUCACAAACUAACACUUUUAAUUAUUGUUCCAGGCCCACAUAAUCAAGUAAUGUUGUCUUUAAAAGUGAGUAAGUCCAUUGGAAUUUUUUUCCCAUAUUUGUAUUAAGGUAUAAUUUACAUGUAGUAAAAGUCACGCAUUUUUCUGUGAGUUUUGAGAAAUGUAUACAGCCAUGUCACCAUCACCACAAUCAAGAUGUGGAAUGGUUCUGUCAUUGUCCCAAAUGUCUUUUGUACUUUGUAAUCAACCCCUCUUCCCACCCUAACCCCUAUCCAGUGCUGAUAUGUUUUCUGUCCCUGUAGUUUUGUGUUUAAAAGAAUCUUAUACGAGUGGUAUCUUAUAUAAGUAUGUAACCCUUUGAGCCUGGCUUCUUUCGCUUAGAAAAAUGGAUUUAAGAUUCAUCCACCUUGUUGCAGGAAUCAGUUCAUUGUUUUUUACUGGUGAAUAGUAUCACAUGGUACAAAUGUACAAUUUGUUUAUCUUUUCCUUAACUGAGGGAUCUUUUCCUCAACUGAGGGAUAUUUGUUUCCAGUUUUGGGUGAUUACAAAUAAAGCCUUUAAAAAAUUCACAUACAAGUUAUUGUGUGAAUAUGUUUUGAUUUCUCUGAGGUAAGUACUUAGAAGUAGGGCUGCUGGGUCAUGCACUAAAAGUGUACGAAUAAGUUCAUAAAAAAAGGCCCAACUGUUUUCCCAAGAGGCUGAACCAUAUUUCACUCCCACCUGCAAAGUAUGAGAAUUCCAGUUAUUCUAAAGCCUCACCAACACUUGCCAUUAUCUGUGUGAUUCUAUAUCUUUAAAGAAUUAUCCAUGACUUCUUAUGCAGCUAAUUCAAUGUCUUUGAUUUUGAAUGAAUGUGAUUUCUAUUUGCAAGGGAAAAAAAAUCAAAUCACAGAAGAAAUGAACUUUAUCUCCUCCUUAGUUGAGCAUUUUCUCUUGAGUGGAUUGACUUUCUCAGUUUCUGGGGUUCACCUUGACUUGAAACACGAUCUUGUGCAAAAUCCAGAGUAGAAUCUGCUGCAGGUUUCUUCAUGUCUUCUGGAAGCAAUGCCCAAUUUCCCUGGUACUUGGGAACAGGACUCUUUCUUCUCAUGCUUUGGAUGCAUUAGAUUAAGUCCAGUGGAGGAACACAAAACAUGAAAAGAGCAUUCUA
rnacentral:lncRNA from 1 species